CACAAGGCGGAGGAACAUGUGGUUUAAUCGAUGAUACGCGAGGAACCUUACCUGGGCUUAAAUGUAGAGUGCAUGAUGUGGAAACAUGUCUUCCUUCGGGGCUCUCUGCAAGGUGCUGCAUGGUUGUCGUCAGCUCGUGCCGUGAGGUGUCGGGUUAAGUCCCAUAACGAGCGCAACCCUUAUCGUUAGUUGCCAGCGGGUAAUGCCGGGAACUCUAACGAAACUGCCGGUGUAAACCGAGAGGAAGGUGGGAUGACGUCAAAUCAGCACGGCCCUUAUGUCCAGGGCUACACACGUGUUACAAUGGCCGGUACAGAGGGCAGCUACCUGGAGACAGGAUGCGAAUCUCGAAAGCCGGUCUCAGUUCGGAUCGGAGUCUGCAACUCGACUCCGUGAAGCUGGAUUCGCUAGUAAUCGCGCAUCAGCCAUGGCGCGGUGAAUACGUUCCCGGGCCUU
rnacentral:rRNA from 1 species